rnacentral:lncRNA from 1 species
AUAAGAUAAACAAAAUAAAUGGCAGCUAUAUUCCACUUCUAAAAAAAAUAAAAAAUUCUGAAAGUAAUAGUAAAAUUAGUAAAAAUAUCUUAAAAUCACAAAAACAACCAAGAAAGUUUUUGGCUCAAAUAUGAGGCAAAAUGGCUAAAGCAUUUUUAGUUCUCGUUUGUCUUAUUGCAAGCCUCAAAAUGGCAUGUUACAUGGCCCAAAGGACACCUAUAGCUCGAGUUAUGACCUUGAGAAGGUACCCUCCUAAUCCUAUACACUCAUUUUACAUCAAUAACUACGUUGAGCAAUUUGAGUACCUUUUUCAUCAUUUCUCUAUCUUUACUCAAUUAAGGUUUAAUUAAUGAAAUGCCCCAUAUUGAUUUUUAAAAUCUAAUUCAAGUUAUGGUUCAAAUAUAUUUAUUGGGAACAAUCAGUAAUAUUAUGUGGCCUUUGUAAAAGGCUAAACAAGCCUACACCUCUAUAUAUCUUUACUAGACAUUAGGAAUAUAUCCGAAACAUAAGCCUUCCCAAUCAAACCAGGGUAUUGCCUUUUCAAUAGUCUUUGAUUAAUAUAAUUCCUUAAGCAUCAUAUAACAAGACUGGUAAAAAUUUAACCUAUAUAACACAUUAUGCCUAAAGUAAUUAACUUUCACACAUCCUCUUUAUAAAGUAGAUACUUGAUCAAAACAAAAUCACAAAGAGGAAAAUAUAACCAUGCAUAUGAUUUACACGUAUAUAAAUAUGCUUGACAUUAGUUUCUGUAUUGACAUGGGUAAAAACCAAGGCAAUAAAUUAAGAAAAUGACAUAUGAAUCAUAUUUCUAGGUAGGUGUUAUAGCAUUUUAUCAACAUGGAGCUUUAUAAAAUGAAUGAAAAGGUUGUACUUUUUUAUAUCUCCAUUAAAAGAUCAUUUUCAAAUCUAUUGAUGUAAAAAAUGAACUGAACUAAAAAUAUUACUACUUCAAAAUAAAAGCAUAGGUCAACCAAGAAACCGAAGAGUACAUUCAUUCAAUUUUUUGUCAAGCUCAUUAUAGAGGACUAGAAAUGUUAUUCUCUUCUAUAAGACCAAACAAUGUACCUAGCAAGCAUAUGAAAACAACAUUUUGCAGACUAGAGCUAUACACAUAUGCCUUGACUGUGAAUACAUUUAUUUCUUAUAGAAACCUUCUUAUGAACUGGCAAGUGCCUCUUCUUUAUCAUACUUAAAUUAGUUUAAAUUGAAACAAGUCAUAACUUAGUCCUACUUAGAACUAAUUCUAAAUUUGAAAGAAUUUAAGGAAAGAACUAACAAUAUUCACCAUGCAUAUUGCAUUUAUGUUUUUGUUUGAUGAAUAAACAAGAUUCCAACUUCGACAGUUUACCUCCAGCUAAGCUUCAAUAAAGCACAAUCAUGUGACUGCUCUGAGUGCACUUGCAACCCUAAUAAGGGAGAAUCAAUGAACCACUCUUCAACAACAUAACUAGUUUCUAUCUUUAGAACAUGAAGAGACCAUUUAUGACUCUUUCUAUGAUCAACAUUCAAAUAAUUAUCAACUCUCCAAAGCAUUAAAAAACUUUCCAAUUAUGCAAUGAAGCAAAGAAAAAUCAUAACAUAUCCAUAAAAAAAGCAACCAACUUUCCAUUUUCAGCUAGUUUACAUGAAUCCAAGCUAAUAAUCACUAAAUCUGGAUUAUCUUUAAACCUAAAUAAUGAAUCAACCAAUGUUAAAAUCUCAAAUUUUUUUAAGAGAUAAAAAAUUAAACUUUAAAUGCUCAAUUACAUUUGCCAUGAAUUUUUGUUAGAUAGAUUAUAAUAGAGAAACAUAAUUAAGUUGGAAGUACACAAAAUACCUAAUUUAGAAAUCAAACUAAAUUCAAAAUCAAACCUUAGGUGGUAAAGAUAGGCACAACAAUAGGGUUGCACAGUGGAGUGGUAGUAAAGUUAGUGUCGCAUGAUGAGGUGGUAUUGAAGCUGGUGUUGCGCAGUGGGUAGGUGUCACACGAUACGGUGGUAGUGGAAUUGGUGUCAUACGGCGAAAGAAGAUGGUGUGGUGGUGGAGCGUCGUGGAGUUGGCGUUUGUUGAGCCACUGCACGAAGAGAACAACAAGGAGAACUUGUUGAGUCACAACAUAAAUAUGAGAAUGAUAGUGAGAAUGAAAGUGAAUUUUUAUUUUAUGUCUCAACUAAUUACAAACCUGUAUAAACCUAAACCUCCACAAGUUCAACUAAUUACAAACCUGUAUAAACCUAAACCUCCGCAAGUUUACUUUAUGCGGGUUUGACCACAUUAAAAUUUUGGUAAGACCACAUUAAAAUACUAUGUAUUGUAAUUACCAAACAUGGUAUUAUAACAUUAUAAUACUAUAAGGGGCUCCAAUACCAUAUACUAAGGAGUACAAACAUGCCUUAAAAGUUCAUUUGGUACUCCCCACUAUAUGAUAUUAAAGCCCCUCAUAGUAUUAAAGUAUUACAACAAAAUGAUUGGCAAUUAUAACACAUCGUAUUAGCUAAUAUUUUAAUGUGAUAGAACUUACAUAAACUAAACCUGGUGUGAAGGGCAGAGGAUUUAUGCAAGUUUGUAUUAAUUUUGGGAGAAAAUUAAAAGCCCCUCUCACUUUCCUUCUUUUCGUGUAGUGGCUCAACAAAUGCAUAAUGUUGACUUUUGUUCUCAACUCCACAACACUCCACCGCUAUGCCAUUUUAUUUCGUUGCUUGAUAGGUAACUCCACCACCACCCCACCACACAACACCCACUAUCUUCCUUGCCCUUCAUCACUUACAUCAUUGAGUUGUAGGUUUGAUUUAUGGAUUAGGGUUUGAUUUUUGAAUUUUUUUUAGAAUCAAUUUUAUUAAUGAUUGAAUUGAUUUUUGAAUUAUGGUUUAAUUUUUUUAUAUUCAAUUUUUGUCUAAUCAAUGCGCUAUUGAUUAGUUUUUGUUAUUUCAUAUGGUGAGUUUAAAGUUAAGUGCUUGAGGAUUGAGUUUAGGUUGAUGUUCAAAUGAUGUUGACUUACUGAUAACUCUAGAAAAUGAGAGUUAUUAUAUCCUUUCUAGACUUAAAUCAAUAUCACUUAGAGAUCAAAUAAGGUGUUUUUAUUAUAUUUUUGUUAUAUUUUGCAUAAACAUUUAUUUUAGUUGAGUCUUAAUAAUUUUUGCUUAAAUCAAAGUAAUUUGUGCUAAAAACAAGUGCAUAAUUGUAUGUUUUCAGAAAGUCUUGAUUCAUGAGGGGAUGUUGAGACAUUAGAUGAGCAAGAAGAGGAAAGAAGACGACCGCAAAAGAAGUAAAGCACAAUCGGGAAUAGUGUAGUGUGGUUGCGAAAGUUAGAGCAACCAGUGCUGUAGCAAUCUGGGAACAAUGCAGGAGAAAACUUAGGCGCGGGUCAGCCACAGAAUCGCAAUCUGCAUGUUUCCUAAUUUAACGCAUGCACGCCCAUGAACUUUUAUUUUUACCCUAGUUUGCAGUAUAAAAGGGAGGCGUGCACCACAUAGAAAGGCGGCAAGGGAAUUAUCAUUAGAAUAAUUACAAAGGAAAGAAAAAGAAGAUCAGAAUUACAGAGUGCUGUUUCGGCAACAUUGAAGAAUCGUGCAAAAUUAUUUGGAUUUGUCUUUCAUCGUGCUCAACUUAUAAUUAUCUUCUUCUUUUAAUUGUUUUGAUGUAUCCCAUGAUCAAUAUAUUUAUGUUUAUUUUUCUCAUUCAGAAUAUGAACUAUACUUGUUUGUAGUUGAGUGACAAGCAAUCCAAUGAGGUCUUGACUGUUCUUAUGUGUUGUUAUGUCAUUGCUGUAGCAUUUUACUCUAUUAGCUUUUAUGAAUAUAACUAUUAUUUCGGUUGACCACCCAUUUGACAGUUUCAGUUAAGAUAGAGCAGCAAAAGGGUAUGUCUUAGCGGAUAUUAUUAGAGUAUUACUUGAUCUUAAGUUAAGUUUCCUGGAUUAAGUUAUCUUGAAUCCCAUAAGGGCAAUACUUGAAGUUAAGAUUUGUGACACACUAGACAUAGGUGUUCACCUUGCAGGGUGGAGAGAUUAAAGAUCAUAACGCCAUACCAUAAGUAGAUUAGCAACUGGUCCUUGUUAAUAGAUUUAAGGGUAUGAGACUUCCAAUAUGCGAUAGCUGAGGAUGCAGAUAAAUUCUGCCCAGUGCUGCAACACUUGCCGUAACAAUUGGUGCUAACUUGAUGAAAAACAGUCAGCCUAUAAGGAGAGUUUGAUCAUUCAACUACCAUAAUUUCAAUUGAAUCUUAGACACAUUUUAUCUAAUAUUUUAUUACGGUAUUGUUUUAUUUAAUUCUCUCAUAAUCAUCAAUCAUGAUAAAACUUAAUUUACGAUUGUUAACUUCGGCCUUAAGUUGGUUUGCACUAUUGUGAUUACUAUAGCAUUUCGAGUAGCAUCAAUCCUUGUGGAGACGAUCUUGAAUAUUCAUCACUUUAUUACUUAUUGUGUAUACUUGCACAUUGGCAUUGGUAGCAAUUGCUUAUAAAAUUAACCAACACUUAAUAACCUAAAAUUUUAAUUAUUUACCUUUUUUGAAGUAAGAAUGGUCAUUAGAAGGCAAAUUGGUAGUUGGACCGAUGAGAUUGAUGCUUAAAGAGACUGAUUUACAACUAAAUAAUUUGAAAUUUUCAUGCUAAGUGUCGUUAUAAUCAUUUUCCCCAUUGUUAUCAUUCUAGUUUGCUACCCUAUAUAAGUUGUUUCAUUUAUUAUAAUUUUUAUUUUUAUUGUGAAUUAAGAGUUUGAUAUUUUAAACUACAAGAUGAUAGUUCAUCAUGAACUUUGGAACCAAGCAACUAUAAACCAUCUCUAAGAUUCUACUAGAAACUACUGCAGUACACUUGAUAAACCAAUUGACAAAAAAAUUGAAACUCACCAAUAAAAAAUUUAAUAGAAGUAGGAAGUGAUCGGCAUUAAAGGCCUGGAUUAACAAUAAUUGGUUUAGUUACAAAAUACAUGCCCUUUCCCCAAUUUCAAUUUCAUUGGCUUUGUCAAACUUCUCGUGUUCAUAUAAAAUUCUUAGAGAUGUUUGAAAUGUCAAAAGACAACAAAAGCUGUACUUGUCUAUAUGAAACUUGAAAUGUACCUAUAAAGUCUUUUUCCUUUAUGUUAAAAGGAUGCUAAUUUUUUUGAAAUAUUCAAGGGAUCCAUAAAAAUUUUAACCCUUUACUUUUGCAUACAAUUUGGGAGAUUUAUAUAGAUUUUAAAGUUAUGAAAACUUUGGUUUGAAUUUUGAAUGAAUAAUGUUAUUAUAGACAUUAAGCAUGUCGCAGGAUACUGAAAUAUUACUACGCGUUAUUACUAGUCGAUGGGAAAAUGCUAAUGGCUGGUAUGGUGAUUAAUAGAGUUGGUCAAACAUGUCAUCAAUUCAUGUUCGUGUUGUAUUAGCUUUGUGUCGUGUCAAAUUUAGGUCACCCCAAACAUGACCCAUUUAAUAAUCAUGUUAAAAUAUUGAGAUCCUAACCCAACACGAAAAUUAAAUGUGUUACCUAAUAACGCGCUUAAUAUCUAUAUAUUUAACAAAAUGUAAUGUGUGUGUAUAUAU